UACGAAGGGGGCUAGCGUUGCUCGGAAUCACUGGGCGUAAAGCGCACGUAGGCGGAUUGUUAAGUCAGGGGUGAAAUCCUGGAGCUCAACUCCAGAACUGCCUUUGAUACUGGCGAUCUCGAGUCCGGGAGAGGUGAGUGGAACUGCGAGUGUAGAGGUGAAAUUCGUAGAUAUUCGCAAGAACACCAGUGGCGAAGGCGGCUCACUGGCCCGGUACUGACGCUGAGGUGCGAAAGCGUGGGGAGCGAACGGG
rnacentral:rRNA from 1 species